rnacentral:rRNA from 1 species
GGGUCAGUAGGUUGGUCGUGCCACCGGUACGUACUGGUCUCACUGAUUCCUCCUUCCUGAAGAACCGUAAUGCCAUUAAUUUGGUGUUGCGGGGAAUCAGGACUGUUACUUUGAAAAAAUUAGAGUGUUUAAAGCAAGCUAACGCUUGAAUACAUUAGCAUGUAAUAAUGAAAUAGGACGAUCGAUCCUAUUUUGUUGGUUUCUAGGAUUGACGUAAUGAUUAUUAGGGAUAGUUGGU